rnacentral:rRNA from 1 species
UACACUCCUACGGGAGGCAGCAGUGGGGAAUUUUGGACAAUGGGCGAAAGCCUGAUCCAGCCAUGCCGCGUGCAGGAUGAAGGCCUUCGGGUUGUAAACUGCUUUUGUACGGAACGAAACGGCCUUUUCUAAUAAAGAGGGCUAAUGACGGUACCGUAAGAAUAAGCACCGGCUAACUACGUGCCAGCAGCCGCGGUAAUACGUAGGGUGCAAGCGUUAAUCGGAAUUACUGGGCGUAAAGCGUGCGCAGGCGGUUAUGUAAGACAGUUGUGAAAUCCCCGGGCUCAACCUGGGAACUGCAUCUGUGACUGCAUAGCUAGAGUACGGUAGAGGGGGAUGGAAUUCCGCGUGUAGCAGUGAAAUGCGUAGAUAUGCGGAGGAACACCGAUGGCGAAGGCAAUCCCCUGGACCUGUACUGACGCUCAUGCACGAAAGCGUGGGGAGCAAACAGGAUUAGAUACCCUUGUAGUCCC